GAUGAACGCUAGCGACAGGCUUAACAUAUGCAAGUCGAGGGGCAGCGGGGGUAGCAAUACCCGCCGGCGACCGGCGCACGGGUGAGUAACGCGUAUGCAACUUACCUAUCAGAGGGGGAUAACCCGGCGAAAGUCGGACUAAUACCGCAUGAAGCAGGGGCCCCGCAUGGGGAUAUUUGCUAAAGAUUCAUCGCUGAUAGAUAGGCAUGCGUUCCAUUAGGCAGUUGGCGGGGUAACGGCCCACCAAACCGACGAUGGAUAGGGGUUCUGAGAGGAAGGUCCCCCACAUUGGUACUGAGACACGGACCAAACUCCUACGGGAGGCAGCAGUGAGGAAUAUUGGUCAAUGGCCGAGAGGCUGAACCAGCCAAGUCGCGUGAGGGAUGAAGGUUCUAUGGAUCGUAAACCUCUUUUAUAAGGGAAUAAAGUGCGGGACGUGUCCCGUUUUGUAUGUACCUUAUGAAUAAGGAUCGGCUAACUCCGUGCCAGCAGCCGCGGUAAUACGGAGGAUCCGAGCGUUAUCCGGAUUUAUUGGGUUUAAAGGGUGCGUAGGCGGCCUUUUAAGUCAGCGGUGAAAGUCUGUGGCUCAACCAUAGAAUUGCCGUUGAAACUGGGGGGCUUGAGUAUGUUUGAGGCAGGCGGAAUGCGUGGUGUAGCGGUGAAAUGCAUAGAUAUCACGCAGAACCCCGAUUGCGAAGGCAGCCUGCCAAGCCAUUACUGACGCUGAUGCACGAAAGCGUGGGGAUCAAACAGGAUUAGAUACCCUGGUAGUCCACGCAGUAAACGAUGAUCACUAGCUGUUUGCGAUACACUGUAAGCGGCACAGCGAAAGCGUUAAGUGAUCCACCUGGGGAGUACGCCGGCAACGGUGAAACUCAAAGGAAUUGACGGGGGCCCGCACAAGCGGAGGAACAUGUGGUUUAAUUCGAUGAUACGCGAGGAACCUUACCCGGGUUUGAACGCAUUCGGACCGAGGUGGAAACACCUUUUCUAGCAAUAGCCGUUUGCGAGGUGCUGCAUGGUUGUCGUCAGCUCGUGCCGUGAGGUGUCGGCUUAAGUGCCAUAACGAGCGCAACCCUUGCCACUAGUUACUAACAGGUGAUGCUGAGGACUCUGGUGGGACUGCCAGCGUAAGCUGCGAGGAAGGCGGGGAUGACGUCAAAUCAGCACGGCCCUUACAUCCGGGGCGACACACGUGUUACAAUGGCGUGGACAAAGGGAGGCCACCUGGCGACAGGGAGCGAAUCCCCAAACCACGUCUCAGUUCGGAUCGGAGUCUGCAACCCGACUCCGUGAAGCUGGAUUCGCUAGUAAUCGCGCAUCAGCCAUGGCGCGGUGAAUACGUUCCCGGGCCUUGUACACACCGCCCGUCAAGCCAUGGGAGCCGGGGGUACCUGAAGUCCGUAACCGAAAGGAUCGGCCUAGGGUAAAACUGGUGACUGGGGC
rnacentral:rRNA from 1 species